rnacentral:rRNA from 1 species
CCUACGGGAGGCAGCAGUGGGGAAUAUUGGACAAUGGGGGGAACCCUGAUCCAGCCAUGCCGCGUGUGUGAAGAAGGCCCUCGGGUUGGAAAGCACUUUCAGUGAGGAAGAACGCCUGGUGGUUAAUACCCAUCAGGAAAGACAUCACUCACAGAAGAAGCACCGGCUAACUCCGUGCCAGCAGCCGCGGUAAUACGGAGGGUGCGAGCGUUAAUCGGAAUUACUGGGCGUAAAGCGCGCGUAGGUGGCUUGAUAAGCCGGUUGUGAAAGCCCCGGGCUCAACCUGGGAACGGCAUCCGGAACUGUCAAGCUAGAGUGCAGGAGAGGAAGGUAGAAUUCCCGGUGUAGCGGUGAAAUGCGUAGAGAUCGGGAGGAAUACCAGUGGCGAAGGCGGCCUUCUGGACUGACACUGACACUGAGGUGCGAAAGCGUGGGUAGCAAACAGGAUUAGAUACCCGGGUAGUC